UACCCCAAACCGACACAGGUGGUCAGGUAGAGAAUACCAAGGCGCUUGAGAGAACUCGGGUGAAGGAACUAGGCAAAAUGGUGCCGUAACUUCGGGAGAAGGCACGCUGGUGUGUAGGUGAAGCCCCCGCGGGUGGAGCUGAGACCAGUCGAAGAUACCAGCUGGCUGCAACUGUUUAUUAAAAACACAGCACUGUGCAAACACGAAAGUGGACGUAUACGGUGUGACGCCUGCCCGGUGCCGGAAGGUUAAUUG
rnacentral:rRNA from 1 species